rnacentral:rRNA from 1 species
AGUGAACGCUGGCGGUGGGCCUAACACAUGCAAGUCGAACGGCAGCACAGUAAGAGCUUGCUCUUACGGGUGGCGAGUGGCGGACGGGUGAGGAAUACAUCGGAAUCUACUUUUUCGUGGGGGAUAACGUAGGGAAACUUACGCUAAUACCGCAUACGAUCUACGGGUGAAAUCAGGGGAUCUUCGGACCUUUCGCGAUUGAAUGAGCCGAUGUCGGAUUAGCUAGUUGGCGGGGUAAAGGCCCACCAAGGCGACGAUCCGUAGCUGGUCUGAGAGGAUGAUCAGCCACACUGGAACUGAGACACGGUCCAGACUCCUACGGGAGGCAGCAGUGGGGAAUAUUGGACAAUGGGCGAAAGCCUGAUCCAGCAAUACCGCGUGGGUGAAGAAGGCCUUCGGGUUGUAAAGCCCUUUUGUUGGGAAAGAAAAGCAGCAGGUUAAUACCCCGCUGUUCUGACGGUACCCAAAGAAUAAGCACCGGCUAACUUCGUG